UUCCAACGUGGAUUCACGUAGAACAUCGCGCCACCAUACGAACAUGGUAUAUAGGAGAAAUAUGAGGCCCAAACUGAGAAGUCUUGCACCCCCUUGAAAUGAGUGCAUGUACAUCACACCUCCUACGAUGGUUGCCAAAUGAUAAGAAUGCCUUUGAGAUUCAAUCACAAACCACUUUGCCUCGGUUGUAUGUAAACCCCCCCUUCACCCCCACCCGCUAAAGUGGUAAAGAAGGGCUCUUUGGGGUCUCAUUUUCUUUCUAUCUGACAGGACUAAAAAAUAGGAAGGGAUGGUUCUUUCAUUGCAUUGAUAGAAGUCUAACUAGAAAAAGAUCUUGUUGCUUUGAUCGAGCCCUAGGCUUUCCUUGGAUAGAUCCCUCUAUAUUCCAACUGAUUUAUGGCGUAGAAGGCGGGAAUAGGAAUCACUCAUAUUGCAUUGAGCCUUAACAGUCCGGAGGACUAUCCCGCUCCGUGGGAUUCUUUUAGCCUCACAAUAUUCUUUGCACCUAUCCAUCCACGCAAUAUUCUUUGCACCUUCGCUCCAAAUAAAGUAAUAGCCGCAACUCAAUUCAUUCAGCCUUCGCCUAGAAAUUCACUUUGCGACCCACUCCGUAAGCCCACUACACGAGAAGAAAGAAUAUCCUUAGCUAUUUAUCUUUAUUAUCUCUUCUCUGAGAAUAUCCUCUUAUUCUACUAUUAGAAGAAUAUCCUACUUUCAGUUUCUAGUCAAAGAAAGGUCCAGGCGCAGGCGCAAAGAAUAUUGCGAGGUGCAGUCUAAUGGAUAGGACUGAGGGCUCGACUGAAAGGAGAGAAGGCGCAAUGAAAUAUGCGAGGUCCAUAUUCCGACUGAGGAACUGAAACUUCCGCGUAGUGCUUCCCUUGUUCAUUGAUAGUAAUCCUGAAGUUUCUUCUUGGCAUCAAAAUAGAUCAAUGAAAGAGGACUAAAAAUAAGACGAAAGUACUUAUGACGGCUUUCCUUCCCAACAAAUCUUCGUUCUUAGUUAUUUGAUUCCACUUUCAAACUUUCUGGGAGUUGUCUUCUCCUAGGCUUUCUUCUUUCUGGCAGUCUUCUGCCUUGCCGUAGGGAGUAGGUUCAGGAGAACCAUAACCAUAAAUCAGAGAGACGGAGGCAUCAAUCACGCAAUAUUCUUUGCACCUCUUCCUUUAAGCUAUAUUUUUUAGGCUCCGGAGGCUCAAAGACAGGGAUAUUGUUGAAUACUAUUAGUUCGAGUCGCAGAGAGCAAAGAAUUUUCUCUUAAUGGAACUUAGCGCGGGUUAAUAUGGAUAGGACUGAGGUCUUAAGACUCCUAACUAUUAAUGGAAAGGACCCACGGAGCGGUGCAAAGAAUAUAUAGAAGGGCAGACAGGUCCGGAGGACCUGUCUGUCCUUCGGUCUUAAUACUCCUAACGUCGAAUAAGAAGCUGGAGGCUGGGUCCAGGUGCAAAGAAUAUUGUGUCCAUUAGAUCCAUUGAAUUAGGCGAAGGAUUUUAUCAAGCUUAGCUUUCUGGAUUCUUCGGCGGAGUGGGGCUUUCUCUAGUAGGUCUGGAGGCUCAAAGAAUGAUCAAAGGCUCCGAACCAUAAAGAAGAGAGUCGGAGGACAUCCAUUGACUUUUUCUUCCUUUCACUUCUAACUUCAAACCUUUCAUAUUCAACCUUGAAAAUAAAGGAGGGAGCGGACUACGGAGGCCAUAAGUUUGAGUUCCUCAGAUGUAUAAAAACAAGUCCUCCGGACGACCUAUCCACUGAAAGUAGCUACGUAGUCUUGUCUCCUUCCCCGCGUAGUGGGCAUUGACUUCUUCAUUGAUUUUCUUCUAUCUCCCACGUAGCGGUUGAAUAUGAAAGGAAGCCCACAGAGCUGAAGAUGGAGCGGGAUAAUAAAGAAGAAAGCUCAAAAGGAGGGAGCGGACCUCAAUGAACAAGGGGAGGACUCGUUUUCAUCCUUAUGGAAGAAAAAUCUCUUUUUUUUAUCUAAAAGACGUAGAAGGAGGCUCAAUGUCUAAUCUUUCUCUCAAAUCAAUAUCCCCAGUGCAAAUAUUCCAGCAAUAUUCUCAAUAUGAAAAGAGCCUUUCUUCUUUUCUUAGAUAAAUGCGCUUCGUAGAUUAUGCUGAAGGAGGAGUGGGCCAUGAUCUUUGCUCCUUAAUUUCCCUAAUGGAUAGUCAUCUGGACCUUUCUUUUUAGUUCUUUGCGCUCGUCAACGCAUAUUUCAUUGCGCCUUCGCCUUCAAUGAAAUCCAUAAAUAAAUAAGGGUAGAUUUCAGACUCAAGAGGAGGGUUCCUUAUCAAUAUCAAUGAGACGGAUAGGCUUUCUUUUACAUUCCACAGGUCCGAAGGACUAUCCAUAUUAACAUGUCUGUCCUUCGCCUAACUAGUUCAUAUAGACCUUUGUUUUUCUUCCGCAGUCACUAAUAUGGAUAGUCCGGAGGACCUCCUUCAGCAUAAUCUAUGAAUGAUCGGAGCAAAGAAUAUUGCGGAAAAGAAGAAAGGAGUGCAAGCGAAAAAUAAUGGAUUGAAUAGUCCUUCGGACGAACUACCGCACUUGGGGGAUAUUGUUGAGAAAGAAUAUUGAAAAAGAAUGAUCGAAGAAUAUUGAAAAAGGACGGAGGAUAGGCUUUCUUUGAACAAUGUGGAUGUAUCAAAGAUUCCACAGGUUAAUAUGGUAGAUUUCAGACUAGUCCUUCACCUUGGAUCUGGGGACUAUUCUCUGUUCUAAUAGACAUAGAGGAGAGGUUCAAAGAAUAUUGAGAAUACUCGUGCAAGCGCAAUCAAUGAACAAGGUGAAAAGAAUAAAAAAAAGGCGGUCGAUGAUCAGGAAGAAAAAGUCAAAAGUCUAUCCCAUCUUCUUCGUUAGGCGCAAAGAAGAAAAACAAGGUGCAAAGAUCUAUGGCCCAAUUAUAAGGGGUCCAGAUGCACCAUAAGACUGGUCCGAAGGACUAUCCAUAUUAACCGGAGUCUUCAACAAGAUUUCCAACCCUGAAUAUUAAGCUACUGAGGCCCAAUAUUGCGAAGGAAGAACUGCGCCAUAAGACAGGUCCGAAGGACUAUCCAUUAGGGAAUGAGACGGAGGUAACGUUUGGUUUUUUGGAAAACUUGUUGGUCGCGGAUUAGUGCGUUUUUUUUGGAAAGUAACAAUUCUCUUCAGUUUGGUUUCAGAAAACUUGUUGGUCACGGAUUAGUGCGUUCUGCGCCGCCUGGUGUCACGAACAUAUUUUUCCAAAGUGUGUUUACCUUUGGUUAUAUGCUCCGAUUACCCCCAGUUUAUCUCAUCUUUAGUUUGCAUAACUAGUUUAGCUGAUUGCUUUUCAUUCUAGGUCAUAAAGCUUGGGUGUGACGUUUCGGCAUUUUCAUAUGCAAGCCUGCCAGAGAGGAAAAUGUUCAAAAUGUACUAUAGGGGAGGCAUACCAGUUGAAUCCCCGCCCAAGCAUUAGUUGUACUCUUUGCAAGCAACCCUUUUUCCUUGCAAUUGACAGUCUUUAAUGCUUAUUGUAACGUCUAUUUCAAUGUAUUUCUUUCUUUCCCGUGUUUUAUAAAUAAAAUGUCCCUAAAACGCAAACGAAGGUUACGACAUACAUCGACGUUACCCACAACUCUUGGAUAUUGAUCGACUGACUUGUUCAUCGAGUUAGAACAAGUGCCGCACAAUCGUCCGUCUCGAGGUUGAAACGCUACGAUUGUGACAAGUGGUAUCAGAGCCAAAGUUGGCUGAGUGACAGUUUUGACAAAAAUAAAAUGUCGACUGCAAAACGAGCGAGCAAGACCCAUGAAGAACGGUUGGUGGGGAUCGAAGUGCAGAUGCUCCACCUGAUGGAAGUUCCUGAUUCCAUCCGGUUCUUGGAAUAGCGGCUUGAGGAUAUUGCCAAGAAAGCUGAUGGCAUUGAAGCCGUGUCCGGUCGCCUUGACGGACUACCCAUCCAAGAGUUACUGACUAGAGUCGACACUCUAGAGUCCCGAGUUAUGAGAACGGGAAAUGUCACCUACGAGCGUGGGGACAGUUCAUCGGGCUCUGUUGCCCAGAUGGAAGAACGAGUUAUGGAGCUUGAUAACUCGCAAAAGAACAUGUUGGAGAUGAUCAGCGCAUGACAAAGGAUUUUCGAGCAACCCUCGAUGUCGUGAGGAAUGAGCUCGCAGAGGUAAGCACGAGGGUGAACCUUACUAUGCGAGCACUAGAAAAUCAGGCUCUAGCUGGAGGAGCCAUUCCUGUGGGCAGAAUCAAGAUUCCUGAGCCCAAGCCCUUCUGUGGGGCGAGAGAUGCCAAGGCGUUGGAAAACUUCAUCUUUGAUGUCGAGCAGUAUUUCAAAGCCACGAACACAAUUACUGAAGAGGCCAAGGUGACGUUGGCAACCAUGCAUCUGUCAGAAGAUGCGAAGUUAUGGUGGAGGUCCCGAUACAUGGACAUUCAAGAAGGGCAUUGCACAAUCGACACGUGGGAUGCCCUAAAAGGAGAACUCCGUUCGCAAUUUUCCCUGAGAAUGUCGAAAUUCUGGUCCGACGGAAGCUGCGUGAAUUGAAGCACACGGGGAACAUUCGGGACUACGUGAAACAGAUUGCGGGGGUAAUGUUGGAUAUACGCGACAUGAUCGAAAAAGAUAAAAUAUUCAGCUUUGUUGAAGGGUUGAAGCCAUGGGCAAGGACUAAGCUAUACGAGCAGAAAGUCCAAGACCUCGUGUCAGCCUAUGCAACAGCUGAACGUUUGUUUGAUCUGUCUAAUGACGUUCAAGAGACAAGACAUCAUUGAAGCUCUUCACCUGGAAGAGACAGAAACAGCCGACUGAAUUCUCCCGAAGCUGUCAGUAGAAAUAAAAGUCCCGGCAGAGACCGCAAGCCCUUCCAGUCAAAUACGGGGAACACCAGGCAAAGGCCCACUAGUCAAAGGACCUCCCACACUCCUAUCAGUUGCUACAUUUGUAACAGGCCACAUCGGACAAGGGAAUGUCCGGAUAAAGCGGCCUUCUACGCCUUCCAGGCCUCUCUGGCUACAGACUUAGGUGACAAGUUGGGUCAACCAGAGAAUGAAGGUGGGUAGGUGGAGGAAGUCCAAAACGUUAGAGUAGGGGCCAUAAGACUCUUGUCGUUCCUUCAGAAUAAAGCAGGGGAGACAAGUGGUCGUACAAAAGGGGGCCUAAUAUAUGUGGACACCUGGAUCAACCGAAGGCAUGCAAAGAGCACUAUGGUUGACUUCAGUGCAACCCAUAAUUUUAUAACGGUGGCGGAAGCCAGACGAUUGAACCUUCACUAGAAGAAGGAUACAGGAAAGAUGAAGGCCGUAAAUUCUACAGCUUUACCCGUCGUCGGAGUAGUGAAACGAGCGGUGAUACAGUUGGAAAGAUGGAACGGCCUUGUUGACUUUGUGGUUGUGGGCAUGGAUGACUUUGAUGUAGUUCUCGGAAUGGAAUUCCUUCUUGAACAUCAAGUGAUCAUGAUGCCUGCAGCCAAAUGUCGGUGAUCACGGGAUCUACCCCCACCGUUAUGCAGAUACCCCCACCAUUAUGCAGAUAGAACUCCGGCAACCCAAAGGAUUGAGAAUGGUCUCGGCCAUGCAACUGAGGGAGGGCCAUAUUCAGGAAGACACAAGGCGUGUCGUGGAGAGACGUUGUGAUGGGAAACAGGAUAGUUUGCCCAUGUCAGAAUCGCCUACGAGAAAUGAUCAUCGUAUGGCGCAAUCAAAAUCAUCUGGACUCAGGAGACAGUCAAGGAGACUGUCAGGUGCAGGAUCCACUAGACCUGCGAGAGAUCCGUAUCAAGCACAAGACUUCUUACGGAAGGAAGAGAAUGGACAAUUGUGUGUCAACAACCGUGUCCUAAAGCAAGCCCCGAGGAGAGGGCCAACUUUUGAGUCCGUGAGUGGGACUCAGCCUGUUGAAGCUUACGCUAAGGCAUAUGGUCCUGUGUCAGGUGGCAUCCUAAUGCAGAAUGGACACCCUGUCAAAGCUGAGAGUCAGAAACAAAGUGCCGCAGAAGGUAGUUAUACGAUGUUUGGAAAAGGAAUGCUGACCACGAUACGUAGUCUGAAGGAUGGAAGACAACAUUCCCAGGGGUCUACACAUGGAAGAGAGACGAACAACAUUGCGACCAACCGCUUUGAUACUCGGCCGAAGUGGGCUUUGAGUCAAGAAAAGUGGCAGAGGGACGUGUCAAGGGAAUCCUUGCAGAAAAACUCUGUCAUUGAAGUUGAUGUAAGUCUGGCGGAGACCAGUCAGGUGGAAGAAAAGAAUGGAGUUCAAUUGUGGAAGCUAACCCAAUCUUAUGUUAAUGCUGCAAUGAGUUCGUCAAUGGAUGGAAACCAGUUUGUGGGUGUUUGUGGCGGACAUUCUGUACAGUCCCGCCUUGUUGGUCCCUCCUAUGUUGGUAAGAAUCCUCAAGCUUGCAACAGUACCAAGAGGUGGAAGCUGGAGUCAGACAUCGUUCGGACCGAUCGAGAGGAAGCCUCGAAGUGGCCAGAAAAGUGGGCAGAUAAGAAGCAUCGCCUCCGUGAUUCCCGUGGGGAGACCAGGUCAUCGUCAAACGGCGAUCUGAACUGACUCCGUUUUUGAAGAAGACUUCAAGAUCACCGCCUCAUGAGAGAACGCGAGGGACAAACAGAAGUUCAAGAAGUCCUUGCUAAAGAAGCAAGGAAAGAAGAAGAAGACCCAUGGGGGAUACACAAGUUCGUGGUGAAGCAGAGGAGCCUCCUCAUGGAAGAAGCCUGUGGAAGACGUACCAAGACUGUGAAGCGUGGAGGUAGAAGAUCGAAGGAUUCCAGCUUUGCCAGUCGACGGGGACGUCAACUGUUUAAGUGGGGAGUGUGUCACGGACAUAUUUUUCCAAAGUGUGUUUACCUUUGGUUAUAUGCUCCGAUUACCCCUAGUUUAUCUCAUCUUUAGUUUGCAUAACUAGUUUAGCUGUUUGCUUUUCAUUCUAGGUCAUAAAGCCUUGGUGUGCGUUUCGACAUUUUCAUAUGCAAGCCUGCCAUAGAGGAAAAUGUUCAAAAUGUACUAUAGGGGAGGCAUACCAGUUGAAUCCCCGCCCAAGCAUUAGUUAUACUCUUUGCAAGCAACCCUUUUUCCUUGCAAUUGACAGUCUUUAAUGCUUAUUUUAACGUCUAUUUCAAUGUAUUUCUUUCUUUCCCGCGUUUUAUAAACAAAAUUUCCCUAAAACGCAAACGAAGGUUACGACAUACAUCGACGUUACCCACAACUCUUGGAUAUUGAUCGGCUUACUUGUUCAUCGGUUAGAACAAGUGUCGCACAAUCGUCCGUCUCGAGGUUGAAACGCUACGAUUGUGACACCGACGGCCACAUAGAAUUGAGAAAAGCCUAUGGUUGAGGCAGCAUUAAUUUAUGAAACUUUACACGUGGGAAGGGAUGACUCUUUCUAUUCAAACCUGUAAACAUAGAAGACCGCCUCAAUGAACAAGGGAUCAUUCACAUAGAAUAAAUAUGAACAACGAGAAAGGGAAUAUAAGGUUUGAAUUCAGAGGAAAGCCUAGCUUGAAUGAACAAGGUGAAAAGAAUAUUGACAGCUGCACUUACGAGUCUUUCAGUUACCUUUCUGCCUCUUUAAAGAGAGUUCAAGGUUUUCUAUUAUCGGAAGAAUCAGAAUAAGAAGAAAAUAGAGGAAGACAGAGAGAAGAGAGCUCAGGAGGCGCAAUGAAAUAUGCGUGAGAAGCGCAUUUCCUUAGUGGAAUACUUUGAUAGCGGAAUAAGAAGUCGGAGGCUCGGUCAAGACGAUCUUUUGAUCUAUUCUAAUGGUCUCUAAUGGAUAGUCCUUCGUUUUAGAGUCCUACAGAUAAAUCCUCCGGACUGGUCCGAAGGCUAGGUUCAUACGGAUAGUCAGGAGGACGGUUAGUUGGAGCCUUGUUUUUCGAAAUCUUCUUUGAGCCUCAGUCGUCUCAUUGAUAAGGACAUCUUUGCAAAUGAAGAGCGGGAGGUGCAAAGUGCGGCUAUUACUUUGAAAAGAAUAGGAGCUCCGCGGUUUGAAUUGAAUAAAAAGGAUAGGCUGAAAUUCAAAGUGAAUAAGAGGAUAUUUUCAGAUAUAAUAUCUAAAGUCAAUGAACAGGGGCUCCUAACCUCUGAUUUAUGGGGAGCCUACUACGUCCAUUAGUUCCGAACUUGGCUCCACUCCUAGUAGUUCGAACUUGGCUUUGCUCCUUCGCUUUUUCUCUUAUUGAUCUCUCUUGUAAUGCUUUCUACUAAGAAUCAAGAAAGCGCAACUUCUAUUUUGUCCGAACGACCUUGAUUAAAAAACGAUGCUUCCUUGGUCGUGUAGAACAUGGAUUAGCAUUAUUUCAUUCCUACAAGCGAUCCCCCAUCCAGGAUUGGAAGAAGUGCUAUAUGAGGACUUUGAGAUCAAAUAGAAUAUAUUUCUUUCAAGACCUCGUGAGCCACUUAUUUCUCUGAAACAAGAGAGAAAAGUGAUUUUCCUCCUUUUUCUCAAUAAGUCGACGACCUUACACCAUUGGGAUACUUCUUCUUUGAAACUAGAGUACAUAUAGGAUACACCGGUGCUAAAACCUUUUCUCAAAAGAUCUUCCAAACUGUUGGGGUCCUUGCUCCGUAUGUUCUUCCCCCGGUGUGAAAGCAGUUGGUUCCAUAGUUUGAGAAUUCUACUACUGAUCCCAAGUACUCCAUCUCCAUCAUUGCAUAUGGGAAUAUAGAAAAGUCAAGAAGAAAAGGCAUGAGCAGAAGAAUUGUGUGAAAUAAGUCAAUUUAUCCAAUUGAGGCAUUCUUUCUUUUUCUUAAGAAAAUUCCCUCUAGACAUAAAUCCUUUCUGUACGAGUAGUGAAGAACUAUAGAGAGUAGUGGUUGGUUGUUGACCAACAAAAAGCAUGGGAGAAAGAAAGAUGUUGGCAAGGAAGCAUCAAAAUAGAUCAAUGAAAGAGGCUCAAAGAAUGAUCGAGGACUAUUUUAGUCCGACUAGAAACUAGGGAAACUAAAGACUAACGAAAUCUAGAUGAGAAUCCGUACAAUUAGUCUCGAGAAAAAGAAGAAAGCAAUAAAAAAAGUGAAGACAGAAAAUGAACCGAAAAUCUUCUUCUCUCAUAUUGAAUUCAUCCUUCUACGCAUCUCCAUGGGCUCGACUGAGAGUGGAGGAGAGGACGGGAAGAAUGAGAAAAAUAGUAAGGCGAGAAGACAGGUUCGAAGGACUAUCCAUCAGGGAGUUUGGACCCCGUAGUUAGGAGCAAAGAAUAUUGCGAAAGAGUCAUAAUAGGUACAAAUCUUCUUAUAGAUUAUGUUGAAGGAGGCGGCGCAAUUCAAUAUGCGAAAGUCAUGAUCCCUUUAAAGCAGACGUUAGGCGCAAAGAAAGAAGCUCAUUAACGAGAAUGAAAGAAUAAUUCACUCAUUAACGAGAAUGAAAGAAUAAUUCUGAUUUCAUCACCUUGUUUUUACGGAGUUCAAUACUAGAUUGAAGACGGAGGGAAAUCCCAGAUUUUGCUAGGUUUUGGGCCUAUAAAGUAGCAAGAAAUCAUGAAAAAUCAGUCAAAAUUAGACAAUUAUCGUAGCAUAUCAAUAUGAGAAAAAGUAUGAAAAAGAAGCAAAAAAGUCGGGAAAUAGCAAUUCAAGAAGAAAGCCUAGGACAGGGAAAAGAAAUGAACACUUCUAGUUUGAGUUUAUGGUCCGGAUACUGACAGGUCUAUUCUUUAUUCCGCUCCUGAAUAUGGAUAAUCCUACUUCGGUUAAUUACGGAUAGUCCUCCUUCGGUUAAUUACGGAUGGUCCUACGGAUAAAUCCUCCAGACUACUUCCUUCCAUAUGGAUGGUCCUACUUCGGUUAAUUACGGAUGGUCCUACUUCCAUAUGGAUAGUCCUACGGAUAAGAAUCCUGCGGACUCCGGACUACUUUGGUUAAUUACGGAUGGUCCUACGGAUAAAUCCUCCGGACUCCGGAUAAAUCCUGCGGACUCCGGACGUACGACGUAGGAUAAAUCACCUGGACCUUUCUUUGGCACUACGGACUACUUCGGUUAAUUACGGAUGGUCCUACGAAUAAAUCCUCCAGACUCCGGGUCGUAAGACGUAGGAGAAAUUCCUGCGGACUCCUUCCUUCCAUAUGGAUGGUCCUACGGAUAAAUCCUCCAGACUACUUCAAUUAAUUACGGAUGGUCCUACUUCCAUAUGGAUAGUCCUACUUCAAAUGGAUAGUCCUCCGGAUAAAUCCUGCGGACGUAGGACCCUGGACCUUUCUUUCUUUAAUGGAUAGUCCUCCGGAUAAAUCCUGCGGACGUAGGACCCUGGACCUUUCUUUGGCACUCCGGACGGAUAAAGAAAGGAUAAAUAAAGGCGCAAAGAAUAUUGCGAAGCGAAGCGCAUUUAUCUAAGAAAAGAAGAAAGGAUAAAUAAAGGCGCAAAGAAUAUUGCGAGAGCGGGAAUUACCUUUUCUCUUCGGGUUAGCUAAGAGUUGCCGGAGGCUUGAAGUCGGAUAAUUACUUUUACUUAAAGGUUUCACAAACCUGCAAAAUCUUCUCCAAAUUAGCGUUAGCGUUCUGAGCUAGCCAAGCAGUAUAUUUAAAAUAUAGAAAGAAGAAAAAUCCAUGCAAUCUAAGUACACUAAGAACCUACAGCAUCGUCACCGCUGCGUGGGAAGGUUAAUUCUUCUAACUCUGGUAUUAUCGUUGAACAAGCAGUUCACAUCCGACUGCCCGCGUAGUGGGGGAAGCUCGCUCGCUAACUUUGCACUUCGGCCAAAAUGCCGAAAAAAGGCUAAGGCCGAAGGAGGUCUGACUCCUUCGCUCAAGGAAGAAUUGCCCGAUUGGAUAUAUAUCUUGGUGCGGAGAGAGGAAAGGAUCACGGAAGCCUCAGUCUCAGUACGAAAGGGGCAAAAAGCUGGAAAAAGCAUACUGGCUUCACCUUGCCCUAGGAUGGGGUCCGCCGGAUCUUUUAAGGCAUAGGCUUAAUGCUGAGACGCACGGGGAUAUCCGGUCCAGGAUGGAUAUUCAAGACAAGGACGAAGGCUCUCCGUCACGCAAGAUGAUUACAAGUCUUAGGAGUGAACUUCCGCUUUACCCCUUCCGGUAUCAGGAAGCGAAGGGCAGAGAAAGCGAGCGAGAAAACAUAAAUCAAGGCGGUCGAUGACUUAAAAUAGGCAAAAAGAAAAGACAGAAAGCCUACGGGUUUCUCGGUUUACCCUUCUUUUAGGAUAGAAAAAGGCACUGCCUGUGUGACCACUACAAGCGGACGUGACGAGCGACGCAGGGCCACCCACGACCGCUAGCAAUACGAGGUAAAGCGGCCAGAAAGCAUACCAUAGGAUGCGUCCUGAGGGCAUUCACAUAAACAUUCUUCGAAUUGUUCACAUUCGGCGGGAUGUUCUUAGCCUUGUCUCCAGGUGAAUAAUUGAAUCGGCACCGGCGAUCGGACCUAUUGCAGCCUUCGGUUGACUGGUGGCAUUCGAUGGUAUGCUUGAGGCCUUCCCAACCCGCUCCGUGUAAAAGAGGUAGAAGGAGGCUCAAAGAAUUAUCGAAGAGCAAGACGAAAGAAAAUAGCGACUUCCAGUCGGUGAUGGGAAAUCUCAAUGUUAUCGCAGAUUCAAAGGCGCAAAGAAUAUUGCAUUGAGGCUCGACUGAAAGGAGAGGCGAAUUUGAGAAGAAAGAACUAUAUCGGCUAAAUACUCAACUGCCUCAGACGUCACUGGGACAAGAGCCGGAGAUUCCGAAACCUCUCGCAGCUUCUUUGCUUCCUCUGGUCUCGAUAUUUGAACCGCCUCAAUAAACAAUAAAUAAGGGUCCAAAAAAUCAAGGUCAUCUUCAAACCCUUUUUUUUAUGCGCCUCAGUCCUAUCCAUUAGAACGUCGGCCCUCACCCUUUUUCUUCUUAGUGCGCGCUUGAGCUUUAGUCUUCUGAGUUCUCAAAUUCUUUGACCCUCUGUCUCAGUAUUCGGCAGAGAUGCUGAUGUUAACAAGAAAUGCAGGCUGAAUGUUGUAUGGAAGGAUGAUCAUUUCGGCUUCUUGUAGCCAUUGAUGCUGUCUAAUGCUUGGAGAGACAUUGUUUAAUGUGACUUUGGACAAGGUUACUGAAGAUAGAACUAUCUGGCCUCAGAGGUCAGUUUUCAGUUGCUAAGACAGUGAAGCUCUUUCAUCUUCCUGGUAAUACUGUCCCUUGGUUCAAGCUUCUUUGGGGUAAGAAGCACAUCCCUAGUCAUGCUUUUCUUUCCUGGAUGGCUAUGAAUAAGAGUCUGAGAGUCAAAGCUAAACUGUACAAUCUUUAAGUGCUUUCGUCUGAUUUUGAGGUUUGGAAGCAAAGAAGCAGAGCGGAGUUUGAUUCCUUAUAUCAGAAAAAGAUAUAGGAAGACUCCCAGAAAGAAGAAAGCCUAGGAGAAAGCAAAGAAAGAGUAAGGAUCAGAAAGCUCCUAACCCCUAUUUAUUUAUGGAUGUGAAUUGAGCGAAGGCGCAAAGAAUAUUGCGAAGGUUCAAAGAAUAUUGACUUGAUAAACCUCUAUUUAGCUUCUUAUAUCUGAAGACGAUAAAGUCAGAUAAUCAGCCUCCGGCUGGGUCGGAUCGUCCAUACCUAGUUGAGUAUCUUGUCCGUCAUAACGAAGUCACUCUUUGAAAAAGGGUCGGGCUUUGUUGGAGUUGACUCGGUGAGUACACUUUCAUCUUUACGAGAAGAAGCGCGAACAACAACUAUAUUAUUCAGCAGAGACCUGAUUUACCCGAUGAGUGGAACGGCUCGACAAAAGUCUUAGGACUCGGGACGACGCGCCUCCUUCCUGCUAGAACUCAUAGGUCUACGGGGUUCUUUCGGUAGCGAGAAUAGUGGUCCCAAACGGAAUAGAAGUACUUUUGAUUCACUGAAUCGGAAUCUUUGAAAGAAGAAAGGGGGACGGAGGAUCAAUGAAAUUUGAUGAUGAUGAGUAAGCUCUUGCUUUUCUUGCUCCUCUUUCUGAAGUUGCGAGAGGUUCAAAGAUCCUUAUCAAUGAUUGGAGUGGCUGUUCCGGUUGCAGACGUUGCUGUUGGAGUAGAAGCUGUAGCCCUUUCGGUGAGGUGCGAAUGCUCGACCUCGACCCAUUGGCAUUAGUUGAGGAUGCACCAUCCCUGAUUAUUUUUUAGGAGAAAGCCUCUUUCGUCGGGUUCAAGGGAAAAGACUAAGAAUGAGGUCCCCUCCCCCCAGUUGAGGAACGAGGGCAAAAGCGAAGCCUAUGAAGUGAGUAUGAGCUCGCUCGACCCCCACGUAGCGGGAAUAGCACCAUCUUCUCUCUUUCAUGAGUAGUUCACUGCACUCAUUAGUAGCUGGACCAAGAGGUUAUUCUCUCUAUGAUCUCCUGGACUGGAAUAGCGCUCUCCCCAUAGCAAGAGGGAGCUCGACGUAGUCGGUCUUUCGGCAGUCACAAUAAUUAAGAGAAGCAGCUGCUCGGGAGAGGGAGGUAUCAGAUGCACGAAGAGAGGAUUGGUCGAAUCGACUGUAAGAAGAGGCAUCUGUUCUUGUGGCUGUAGCAGUUGCAGAAGUUGAAUCGUCUGUGGCUGUUCUUGUUUAAGAAAUAGCUGCAGCUAUUCCCACCAAGGCCUGACGAUAGGCUGAUUUCAGGAUUUCCUAUCCAUCCUCAAAUUCUUUGAGCCUUUGUUACAAGAAAAUACUCUUUAGUGACUCAAGAAUGACCCUGUCUUAUGGCACCUCUCAUCUGGAGCCUUUGUUUUUGAAACAAGUCAAAUUCUCUAAUGGAUAGGCCUGAAUUCAUGAAUAUUGAAUUGAACCUACUAAAAUCAAAGGAAUAAAGAAAGAGCUCAAAAGGAGUCAAAAUGAGAAGUCCGAAACCUCAUCACCUACUCCCGGAGGCAAGGUGAAAUUCAAUAUGACGAAGUCUUAUAGUUGGGUCUCAUCCCCCCAUAAUCAAGUAGCGUCCACUAAAAAGAAGCGGAGCGCGGAAGGACGAGGCGCAAUGAAAUAUGCCUUGAAUGAAUCUACCCUUUUUAGACUCGACUACUCCGCUACGUGGGCUUACUAGUAAUGCUGAAGUUUCCUCCUUUUCUAGCUUUCUUUCUAAUGCCCUUCUUUAUGGUCAAUGGUCACUUCCCCGAGGCGCGGAUCCCACUACACGGGAAUAUAUUAUGAUAUAAUGAACUAUCUUCUUUCUAAUAGCUAGUUUCAACAGCCACCGGGGAGGAGACAAGAACUCAAUCUACUGAAACAAGGGUUUCAACCACAGCGAGAGCAGACCUCAAAAAAAUAAGGAAGAAAAAGAUAAAGGCGCGAAGCGAAGCCUAUGAAGUCAUAAGGGCAAGGGCUUUCCGUGAACUUUCUUAUGAUGGGAAAUCCUUGUUUUCAUUUGCGAGACACAUUUCAUUCGUAGAAAUACCACUUCCUACUUCCUCAUCCCGACAAUAAAUAAAGCACUACGCGGGACAAAGUAGAUUCCCAAACUUAAAAGGAAAGACUAAAAUCAAAGCUCCAGAUGAGUUGAAUUGAGGUGCAAUGAAAUAUGCCUUUCUGCAGUGUGCGAAUUCGCUCUUUCGGCUGAUAACCUUUCGAUCCAGAAAGCACUACGCGGAAGUUCCCCACUACGCGGCGUGAAGUGACUGCCCACUUUUUGAAAAGAAAUAAAGAGCGCAGAACAAGGUUCAGUUAAGCUUGAUAAAUCAGUCCUUCGCCUAAGAAUAAGGUGAAAAGAAUAUUGAACUCAUGAAAUCAAUAUCCCUGUCUUAUGGGGCCUUUGUAGCUUAAUAAUGGGGAUCUGGUUCAAUUAUAAGGCUCAAAGAAGAUUGAGAAAGAAUAUUGCAAAAUCAAGGCGGCAAAGAAAAGGUGAAUAGGGAUUCGUACGAUUAGACUUGACUGAGAAUGGAAUUGCUUUAGCUAUCUUUUUUUUUCCGUCUUUCAAGGUGGAAGCUAAAUCAGAAUAGUUUCUAGUUGAAGGCAAGCAAGCUAGGGUUGGUUCGUAUUGACAAAGAGCUGGACUUCUAAACUUUCAAUGGGUACUGGAGUACUUUCUUUGUCAAUCGAUGCUUAAUACUAUCUUUACGCAAAUAAAGGCCGAAGAAUGAGGCUAAGUCUUCUAUUUAGUGGUCUCGCAAUAUUCUUUGCACCUUGCUGAUCUCAUUUCAAAAAUGCUUCGCCUGCCUCUUCUUUGAUUCCGUGCACGAGUAAGUACCCGUAAAUCGUAAAGAAAGAGGGGGGUAGUUACCUGCUCUUUCAUCGAGAUUGGCGAAUUACGGUAGAAGAUAGAAGAGGUUCGAGGAUCAAAGUAUUUGAGCUUUGCUAUUACUUUCAUGCUCCUCUUAGAAGGAAGAUAAGCACGAUAAGCUGGCCUAUAUCAUUGCUUAAUUCAUGCUUUCUUCGUACUUCCGGAAAGAAAUCUCACUCAUUUCAUUCUAUCACAUAAUGAGAACUCUAGAAAAGAAAUUGCUUACUUCAUGCUUUCUUCGUAUUUAUUUAAGGACCCAAUCCAUCUUUUGUCUAUGACGAUCGGUACGAAAGGAAGGCAUGCUCGCAGGGGAUUCUUAUUACUAAUAGAUGAUAAGAUAAUACGAGAAUGAAAGAGGUCGAGCGCCUCACCUCUGAGUCUGAUUGUUGGAAGUAUGAUGACUCCCACUGGUCGUCUUUCAACUCAUUAAAUCCCCCUAUCUUUUAUGGCGGUCUUACCGGAAUAUCUACUUUAUAGAAUUCCUAUGAGACUAAGAAAACAAACUGAGACCUCGUAGUCUUCCUGUUCCCGGUCGAUCCUAUGAUCGAUCUCAUACAAAGAUCUUCUAUGAUUCGACUAAAAAGACUCUUUCUUCUUAGUUUGAGCUUGAGGCGCGUCCAACCCACUACGCGGUAAGCUUUUCCUCUUUUCCUCUCACUUCAAGACUCAAGACCUUACCCGCACCGAGUCAAUCCGAUCGCUACCUUUCCAGGUCGUAUUCUAGUAAUUAAUUUCAUUAAUAACUCAGAGCGGCGAUCUAAAUACUUCUUCAGCAAGAACUUUCGAAGAAGGUAGAGGAACUGAAAUGGAUUCAGCUUCCGCAGGCAGCAUCCCUUUCAACGACGACUCCCCGAGAGACUCGCUUCAAACUUCCGAUUUAGAAAGAAGGUAUCUCAGUCUCUUACCGCGUAGUGGGCUGAUCGUGAGAGAUGGAAUCUUCAACCUCUUAUGGAAAUGUGUCCAGCGGAAGUAUUUACGUAAGAAAUUGAGAACCAGGCGAGAGGAGAGGGGUGAGGAUCGAGCGCAUUCCCUAUCGAUCAGCAUCCUCAACUCUACUUCAAGAGUAGAAAGGUUUCGGAAUUCAGAGGCAAGAGCAUUCCUUCCUCUUUCUUUAGUCAAGUCAUUUCAUUCCUUUUCUCACUAGGUCUAUAGAAAUAGUUCAUGGCCAGGACUAGGUCUCGUCAUAUUCUUUUCUCAAGAGAUGAGAAGAAAGUUCUCCUAAUAGAAUAUGUUUGAAUAUCUCAACUAGAAAGUCUCGGACUAACUCUUCCCAUAGCGUAGCCUACGGAGCGGGGAAAAGGAAGAUUUUCAACAGUCAAGAGAUCAAUCAGAAGGGAGCGGGAAGAAUGGAUAUUGUCUUCGAUCUUGCGAUAAAAUGAGUCAGACCAUAUGCGAUCUCGUCUCAAACAGAGAAUUAGUAAUCUGAGUCGCACGGGGAAUAGGUUGGAUAGUCCGGAGGACGGGAAGACAGAAAGAAAAGAGAGGCUCCGGAGGUUCAAAGAAUAUUGACAAAGAAUAUUUCAUGAAUUGAGGUGCGGUAGUCCGUCCGAAGGACUAUGAAAUCCAUUAGUUUUCGUUUGCACUCCUUUCUUCUUUUCUUAGAUAUUCUGGGAUUGAACUCCGUCUGAAAUCUAGCAGAUUCAUUUUUAGCUUCUUUCAUUCUCGUUAAUGAGCACUUGAACCUGUCUUUCUCAGGCGCAAAAAAUAUUGCGAGAAGAGCAAAGAAGAGAAUGGCGAUCAGAAUUUGAGUCCUUUCAUACUUUCGUUGAGGAGGAGGAGUUUUCUUCUUGUAUCAUAAUAGGAUAUUUUAGUAGAAUAAGAAGAAGAAGAAGAUAAGACUACGUAGCGUAGUGGGCUUUUCUUAUGGCGGAGCGGAGGAUUCCGACUAUCCACUGAAGAAAGUAGGAAAGCCUAAGGAACCUAAAAAGGGCUAAUAGGGGAAGGAAGAAAGCCUAUCCCUCCAGAAUCUUUGAGGACCGAAGGACUUCUUUAUAUCCCUAUUUAUUUAUUUAUGGGACUCCCAGAAAGGUUUAGUUCCAUAAAUCAGUCGGCUAAUAUAUAGGAUGAAAGUAGAUAGAAAGGAAAAGAAAAAAGUCGUCACUCUUAAGGAGUGCAAGAAGGAAUCUUUGAACCUUUUAUCCUGAUCUCUCUCAUUCUACAACUCAGUCGAGCCACUAUUCAACCUUCUUUUCGAUGGGACAUCAUGUCCUCUUAUCUUAAUCCCAUAAAUCAUUUAAGGCGAUACGGAAACAAGAAAUCCAGAAACUUAAUCCGGUAGAGUCAAUUCGAGACUAAGACGAGUUGGGGUUUCGACCAUAGGCUUUCCUUCCAAACCUACUAUACUAAACCUACCCCCGGACUCAAGGCGCGAAGUGAAGCGGCUGCCCACUUUUUAGAAAUAAAGAGCUGAGAUAAUUCUUUUCACUCAUUGAGGUCGGCUAAAUUCAAUGGAUAAAGAAGUCCUUUGCUUCAUUCUAUAUGUCCUUAUCAAUGAGACCAUUAAUCAGUCCGAAGGACUAUCCAAAGAAAAGAAUAUCCCUGUCUUAUGGGGCCUCCGUAGCUUAAUAUGGAGCGCUCCGGACGAGUCUUAACUAAUAUUCCCAAUCAAAGAAUUAUCGAAAGAAUGAUCGACGAGUCUUAUUCCACUAAAAUAGUAGUCCUUCGGAGCAGUCUUAUACUAAUCUCCUAAAAUCAAAGCUCCAGAUGAGUUUCAUUCCACUAAAAGACGAAAGAAGGUAUCUCAGUUACCAAAGAGAAAGAGCUUCCACAAACCACUUCCACAUAAACUUCUGCUAAGUCUACUUCUGUUAUUGAUUCAACUUAGCCUUUAAUCAGAUUAGGACCUAGCUAGCCAACCUUAUUCCUUCCUCUUCCUUACUUUGUUCUCGCUUGCUUCGGCAGGCACACACUAUCUCUGGAUACUGGAUAAGAGAUCCUUUGGUCAAGCUGCAAGAGAAAGACUUCUUCUCCGAUCGAUCAGCUACCCGAUUCCUCCUUCCCCGAUGAUAAGGUUAGCAGGCCCGAUCCUCUCCUAUUGAAAAAGAAAGCAGAAAUCUUUCAGUCUAGAGGAUUUAUCCGUAGCCCGGAGGAUUUAUCCGUAGCCCGGAGGAUUUAUCCGUAGGACCAUCUGUAAUUAACGCGAAGUAGUCUGCAGUCCGGAGUCCGCAGGAUUUAUCCGGAGGACUAUCCAUAUGGAAGUAGGACCAUCCAUAUGGAAGGAAGUAGUCCGCGAGUCCGCAGUCCGCAGGAUUUAUCCGUAGGACUAUCCAUUUUCAGUCGGACUAUCCAUAUGGAAGGGAGCGAAAUCUAGCUAUGAGGACUCUUUGAGCUCUUCUUUGAGUCAGUGGCUCUGCCACUUGCAGAAGGAGCAGCGAAGUCCGCGGUUUCAGAGGUUUAUGUAGCAGUUCUUCUUUAAUAAGAUGCUUACUUUCUUUCGGGUAGAAAGGUUCACUCGUGAACGGUACACCUCUUAUAUGAUGCCUGGGGACUUUGUCCCUUCUUCUACGGAUUUCUCUUAUAUGAUCUUAUUCAUCUCCGUAUCGUUCAUAUAUUCAUUCUAUAAAAUCCCUAGCUGCCACAGAUGGUCGAACUUGCCUCUUAAGUGGCGUGGGUCGAUCCUCUUGUUGACUUUUUACCUAGGAGUGGGGGGGAAGAAGUUCGAGAAUAAUUUAUCUUCUUUCCUUGUCCCAGUUCUUCUUUCCACUUCUACUUAAGUCACCACGACUGAUACAGAUGCAAGAACAUCAGGGCGAGCAGGGAAGAGGCGGAGGGAGUUUGCACUCUUUUCAUGCGGGUUUGAGUGAGACUGAUGCGCCCUAGGUCAAGCCAUUGCUUCGUCUUGUUCAUCACAUUCAUUAUGUUCACAAUUCCGGAAUCAAAGUAGAAAUACGAGAAAGCGCUCCAGCGGACUCUGAUUCAUUGGGAAUUCUAUCUUCCCGCCUCAAUGAACAAGGUGAAAAGAAUAUUAAAUGAAUCAUUGAGUUGAGGCGGUGGAACCUAGGAGUGGGACCGGGAACAUGAUAGGCUUGAAUCUAAGAAGUGAAUAUAGUAUUGAAAGAGGCCCACGGAGCGGUGUCCGACUAUCCUACUAUCGAAGCCUUGAAGCAUGAGUCUUGAGGUUUUCAAAGUCUACUCAGAGGACGAGGUUGAAGUUUCAUAGGGAAAGGUUUCAUAACAAGCAGUUGUUUUCCGUAUCGAAUGCUCUUUCAUUCCUUAUUCGAAAGAAGGCAAAGAAAGUGGAAACUAAAUCCUUGGAUUCUUUCCCGCUUGAACCAUGAAAGGUUAGGCCUUAGUUACGAUCUCAUUCAAUGCCCUAGCAUACUCAAAGGUUCGGGGGCGUAGUGGAUGGAGCUAGAAGACUACUACUUGGACGAGGGAUUUCCUUUCUCUUAUUGUAAUACUCCUAACCACCCCUUUUUGAAUGGGCAGGCCCCUCUGGUCGAGUUUACCCUUUUUAUUCAGGCCUAUCUGCCUCCGUUCAUGAAGGACAAAAUCGGACUGAGCCCUUGUUCAUUGAGGCGUAUAAGCCCACGUAGCGGUGCCAUAAGACAGGUCUGAAGGCGUCACAGGUCCGGAGGACCCGUCUGUCCGAAGGACGAGAUAUUUAUAAUGUUGAGAGAAAGAUUAGACUUUGUCAGGACCCUUAUUUCCAUUAUUUUUCACUUUCAAUAUUCUUGAGAAUAUUCAUUCAUCCGACAGAGCAAAGUUCAUCCAGAUCCCCAUAUGAAUUAGGCGAAUGACUGAUUUUCAAAGUCAGAGUUAUCCCUCAAAUUCUUUGAGCCUUUGCACUCAAAUUCUCUAAUGGAUAGUCCUUCAGACCGCUAGGAGUAAAGAAUAUUGUGUGGAACUGAACUAAUAGGGAAAAGCAUUUCCUAUUGAUUUGUCCCCUGGACUGGACCUAUUCUGAUUCUGAAUUAUCCGUCGCUACGUUGUUCCCAAGGACUAGCAAAAUCGAAAUAGCGAAAUUCUUGGGUCAUCUCAAUGGGUUCAGAAACCACACGUUUCUCUGGAUCAUCACAGCGUACUUCCACAUAUCCACUCAGAGGAAGGUCUUUUUGUAAUGGAUGACCCUCGAAACCAUAAUAUGUUGAUAUACGGCGUAGAUCCGGAUGAUUGAUGGAAGAAACACCAAACAUAUCCCAAACUUCUCGCUCCCACCGGCCGGCUGAUGGAAAUAGACUGACUACCGGAGAGAUUCGUGUUACUUCGUCUGCACUGGUUUGUACACGAAUGCGUGAGUUAUACCGAGUACUCAGUAAAUUAUAGGCCACUUCAAAUCUGAGUUUUCUAUAUAUAUUUAUAUUGAUGUUAAUAUGUUACCUUGUAAUUGGAAUGGUGAUUUGAAUAAUCUAAUAGGAUUAUGUGUUUGGAUCAAAAUAUGUUGCAAGAGAAAUAGCUAAAUGUGUGGAUUUAGUGACAAAGAGGGUAUUCAUGUGUUUAUUUUAGUUUUCUCAGUGAGGACUCGAUUUUUAGAAGAAACGACCACUGUUCGAAUCAUUCAAAACUUUGUUCCGAACAAAAAUUUUGGACUUUGUCAUUGUCCUCUUCACCGAAUGUGACAAACUUGAAGACAACGAUGAAACAUUGAAAGAUUACUUGGAUCGAAAAUGUCUUGUGGGGUUGAAAGAUACCAUAGCCGCUAGCAAGAACUGUUGCUUGGUUUUCAAUAACAAAACCGAUAAUGAAACAAAGAAGAUUGAAUAAGUGGAUAAACUUAUAAAGAUGGUGCAUGAAGUUGUACAACAAAAUGAAGGAAAAGCAUACACUCAUGGCUUGUUUUCUAAUGUCAAGUUUGAGACCAACUUGCAAGAUGAUGUGAAAACCAAGCUUGAACACACAAUUACAGUUCAAAACACAAGCAAAAUUUAAAGCAUAACAAGGAGCACAAGAAGUUCAACAACAAUCUAUGGAUCAAAUUCGAGUCCUCAAAGACCAUCUAUGCAUCAAGACUUGAAAGGUCACUGUCACUACCAAUGCUUCCACAAAUUAUUCGUCAUGGUCGCUGCAUGAGAAAAGGUUGCAUUAUUGUAUGACUUUACUGUGCAUGCAUUCAAUAAAUAUGUACAAGUAAUUAGUAUAAUGAAUAUAUACUAAAUAAAAAUAUGAAAAAACUGUGAAAAAAAACUUAUUUGAUUAACUGCUAUAAAAUUAAUAUUUGAAAAUUGGCAUGUGUUCUCGAAACUAAUAAAAGCAAGUUUGGAAAUGCCUUUAUUUUGUCUUUGUUGAGUGUAGUGUAAAUUGGGAAAUAUAGAAUGCUUAAUUAUGUUGUUAAUUAAUAAGAAAAUUAUUUUAGAAGUUUUGAUGAAUGUCCAACUACAUGUGGAAAGAAUUAUAAAGGAUUGAAAAAUGAUUCUAUAAUCUAGCCCAAACAAGAGGUGGGUUAUUAUAGCUCACUUCACUUCUAUUUAGUUUGGGACCCAAAUAGCCUCUUAAAAUUAGGUUAACUCCAUAACUAAUAAGGGUCUUUAACUCAUAUAGUCUAAAUUGCUAUAUGAUAUUACAUGAAUGAUCCAAAUUACUAAUAAAUUUCAUAAAAGUCCUAAAUGGACUAGUAUAUUACAUAAAUGUAGGCUCAAAUUACUUUAAUACCAAUUUAUAUUAUUUAAUUGAUUUAUAACAAAUAUCUAAAUGAAAAAAACCGUGGGAUAUAGUUUUGGAAAGAAGUGGGGUCCAAAUUAAUUUAAUAUCAACUUCUAUUAUUUAAUUUAAUUGAUUUAUAACAAAUAUCUAAAUGGAAAAAAUGGUGGAACACCGUUUUGGAAAUAAGUGGGGUCCAAAAUAAUUUAAUACAAAUUUUUAUUAUUUAAUUGAUUUAUAACAAAUAUCUAAAUGGAAAAAAUAAAGAGAUACAGUUUUGGAAAGAAGUGGAAAACUUUUCAUGCUUUCCUUCCACGAAAAUGGUUGUCUACUCCUUUCAACGUGGAUUACGAUUUUUACUUCAAAAUUUUAGAGAGUUCGGAGGUGAAGAAGAAGACAGUCGACGACCGACAAAUACAAAACUUCUCGAACAUAAUCUAGUUAAAAACUUUGAAGUUAGUAUUGUAUAUAUUCAACACAUAUGAAACAUUAGAUAUAUUAUGUAUAUUUUAGACAUUCAAUUAAAUAGUCAAUCAAAUGAAAAUGUAGUUUUGAAUGUGAUACAUUUUAGGGUUUAUUGAGAUUUCGGCGGUGAAGAAGAAAACUUUUGAUGGCCAAAAAAUACAAAACUUAUCCGACAGAAUCUAACUAGAAAAUUUGUGCUUAAUAUUAUAUAUAUUCAAAACAAAUGAUUAGAAACAUUUAGUAUAUUAGGUAUAUUUUAAAUAUUCGAUUAAAUAGACAAACAAAUGAAAAUAUAUGAAACAUUUGGUAUAUUAGGUAUAUUUUAAAUAUUUGAUUAAAUAGACAAACAAAUGAAAAAUUAGUUUUGAAUGUGAUACAUUCUAGAGUUUAUUAAGAAUUCAACGUUGAAAAAGAACGGUCAUCCUAUCAAAAAAAUAAUAGAACUAUAUAUAUAAUAUGAGGUAUAUAUAUAUAAAACAUAGAACAUAACUAUUAUAGAUUACGGAUAUAUUAAAGUAUAAUGUAAUCAAAUACAUUUAUAAAGGAAAAAUAUGUAUGUAUGAUCAUGUCGUUUACUACCGUUUUAGUAAUAUUUAUUCUACAAACACAAAUUCUGUAGGAAUUAUGUAUAAGGUAUUAUUGUAUAUAAUAUGAGGUAUAUAUAUACUAAAUAACAUGUAUGAAUUAAGUGUACAUUUUAUUAGUGAAAGGUUCUUAUAUCAAUUUGUUUAUGAUUUUUAUUUAAAUAUUCAUAUAUUAUGUAGUAAGUAAUACGUUAUGUUUGAAAUAAUAUUGAUUAUGUAUUAAAGUUGCCAUUAGACAGUUUUUUAACAAAAUAUACCUAUUAUAUUAAUAUAGAAAAUGGGAGGAAAUCGUGCAACAUUAAAAUAGGAAACUUCUUUACCAUUUUCUCACUUUCCAUAUUCAACGAAAAGCUUGCCAUUUCGACAGUCAAUGACAUAUACAACAUAUUAUAUAAUGCGAUAAUAUUAUAAAACUAGUAUAAUCAUAAAUAAGAUGUGAUAUAUAUUUAAGGGAAAUAUUAAAAAACUGAUAAAUUCAUAAUAGAAUAACGUUAAAAUAAGGAGAAUAUUGUUAAUAUAAUAUAUAUACGCAUAUGAUAUACUCAUAAUGAACUAAUUUUAAAUGGGUAAAAUAACAAAUGACAUAUUUAUGUUAUUCUUCAUAUAAAACAUCAACUAAAAUAAUAAAGUAUUAUAUCUCACGGUUAAUAUAUAAAACUAUUAUAAAUGUAAACAAGAUGUGAUAUAUAUAUAUAAUAAAUCACAUAUACAACCUAUUAUAUCAUGCGAUAAUAUUUAAAACUAGUAUAAUCAUAAAUAGUAUGUGAUAUAUGUUUAAAGGGAAUAUUAAAAAACUGGUAAAAUCAAAAUAGAAUAACAUUAAAAUAAGAGGAAUAUUGUUUAUAUAUACUAUAUCUCAUAUAUAUACUCAGAAUGAACUAAUUUUAAAUGGGCAAAAUAACAAAUGACUGUGGAUUUUAUCUUAUCUUUAGGUGAUGGACAAUUGUAUAUGACGGCGAUUUGUUAAGAUUCUGCAGCUUACGGUUAUGAUAAAUUUGAAUACAAAUUUAUAAAACAAUGUAAUAAGAAGUUCAAAUGAUGGAGAAGAAUAGCAAAAAACAGUUGUCGGCGAUGGAGAAGAUAAUGUAAUGGCUGCCAGAGAGAGUGAACAAUUAGGUUAAGUUAUAUUUUUAGAAAGAAUAAUUAAAUAGUUUAUUACAAAAUAAAGUAAAAUUACAAUUAUUAUAAUAUAUUCUGAUUUAUAAUUAAUUUAAAAGAUACUUGAAAUUUAUUAACAUAUUAAGGUCUUUUGUCUAAAAGUUUCAACUAAUAAUAAUGAUAGUUGUAAAGCCCCAAAGGUAAAAAAAAAAAAUGUAUAUUUUACAUUUUCUUUUUAUAUAUUUUUAUAUAUAUAUUUUAUUUUAUUAAUUUAAAUAAAAAGAAAUGAAAAAGAAAAUCCUUAUUUAUAUAUUUUUUCUUUUCUUUUCUUUUUUUUUCUCUCUUCUUCUUCCUCCGUGCGCCGCGACCCCCACCCGUCCUCUUCUCCUUCCCGUUCGCAUCAAUCGCCGCCCCAUCCGUUCUCUUCUCUUUCGUUCGCAGCAGCCGUCGGCCGCCGCGUCUCCCCUACUGAAGCCGAGCGCCGCGACCAUUCCUUUCUCCUCUUCUCUUCAGUUCGCAAAGCAGCUGUACGCGUCCAAAUCUGUCGUCGUCCAGAUCUGCACCGCAAGACCUUCCGUCGUUGCGACCGUUGCUCUUUCUCCGCUGCCCAGCCGUCUCAGCCGGUUCUGUCUCCGUCGAAGCCACGGUUCUGCAACCGUCUCCGCCGGUUCUGUCUUCGUCGAAGCUAAGGCCCCCGCGUGAACCAGUAACCGCUACGCUCUCCGCUCACAACCGCCGCUCCACUUGCUAUCGACGUCGGUCGACUAGUUGCUGUAACCGUUCAGAUUUGCUGUAACCGUUCAGAUUCGCGGUCUGUUCGCGACGGUCUCCAUCCGUGAAGCCCAGCCGCCACGUUCCCUUUGGCCGACCGCUGACCGACCCACACUUAGGAUUUUGCUGCAAGUUCGACAGUCGUGCGUUGAGGUGUUGGGAGUAACGUUAGGCUCCCUUGCAUUCACAACCAGUUUGUGAGUUGUUGAGGGUUCAGUUCGCCAAUAUAUCGGUGAGUUGGAACUUACGUUGAGGAAAGUAAGUGAGAUAUGUAUCGUGAAAGUAAUUGAAUUUUGUGUUGUUGUGCUUAGGAUUGUUUCGAGGACGUUAGUUGAUUAAGGAGCUUCCCCAACUUUGAGGUAAGGGAUUUUCUACUGGACUCAAUUGUGAUUGUGAACUGUGAUUGUGAACUGCAUGUGUGUUGAAUGUAUACUGUGGGCUAACUGAAAAUAUAUAUGAAUGUAUAUGAAUUGAAGUAGACUUGACGUCAAAUGUAUAUCGUGAUUGUCAUGGAAUCUAUAUAUAAAUGUGUGUGUGUGGACAGGACGGAGAUUGUAGAUUGUGUUUGUAUGAGAUGCAGAUGUGAAUCUUGUGAUUUUCGUUUAGAUUGGGUGUAUGAUUACGCUAAAGUAUGACUGUGUGCUGGUGAACUGAGGGGUGCAUUGACUGUAUAGUGGAUUGACUGUAUAGUGGAUUGACUGAUGUAUUAGCAUAUUAUUGACAGACAUAUGACUGUAGUAAAAUAAGUUGACUGUUAGGAUGUUGAAAGAAAGAACUUUGUGACUUGAAGUAACUGAAAGAUGGGUUGAAUGGAAUGAGGGGAUAAAUUGUUAGAUUGUAUUGGGAUGUUUACCUUGUAGGUGUCCCACGGGAUCACCAAUUUAUUGUGCACCUUCAAGAGCAUUUGACUGAUAUGUGUUUCUGCAGAACACUAGACUGAUAUGUACGUCCCUCGGGGCGUUAGACUGAUAUGUACGUCCCUCGGGGCGUUAAACUGAGAUCUGUAUCCUACGGGAUCACAAGACUGCGAAUGUACAGAGUGUCCCAAUAGAACUUUAACAAUUUACUUUCCCCUGACGAGACCAGUAGAGGGUCUCUUACUGAGUAUUGUUAUACUCACCCUUCUUAUGUUUAAUUUUCAGGCAAAGGUAAUAAAGGCGGCAAACCGGCGAAGGGCAGGAAGGAAGCGUGAUUGACAUAGGAAAUGUGUCAUUUUGCUUCCGCUUAUGGUUUCUUUUGAGGUUUAAGAUGUACUAAAACUUAGUUUACAAACUUUUAUUUGUAAAUAGUGUUAUUUUUAAGUUUUCUUGAACAUUUGAAAAUCAGGCCUGACAUAAAUUGUUUUUAAAUUGACUUACGUUUCAUUUUGUAUCAACCAAAGUCUUUUGUUAAAAAUUAACGACCUCGACUUACCUAGAAAAGUUGGGUCGUUACAAUAGUUCUCAUUAACCAAUUGACAAAUGAAUGAUAUUGUCAAAUGAUCGAUAUUGUCAAAUGAUCGAUAUGUGCAAGUGCACAUUUCAAUUAUAUUAUAGUAAAACGUUCUUAGAGAUCGAGCUAGUAUCCUUUUAAGAGGGAUCAAAUUAACAAAUUAAUUUAUUGAUUUUAGGAUUAGGAUGUGUUUUAAGGAUAAAAACAAUGAUUAGAAACUAAUUAACUACAAGUUGUUGACUUUUGAAAAGAAUAUCUUUCCAUUCAAACAUAAUUGUUCCUAAUCUCUUCCAACUAAGUUAAAUAUUAUGGUAUUAAACAGAUACAUAGUUUGGUUGGUAGUUUCUCUUCAAAAUUAUUAUUUUGAGAAAACAAAUACAAUUUCUUUUUAUGUAAUCCAAUAUCCUCAAGUAUAUUUAUAAAUAUGGAAAUAUUAUUUCCAUAUUAGAAGAGAUACUAAAAGAUCUUAUUACAACAUCAUUAGAGUCCCAUCAUUUUCUCUAAAUAUCUCUUUUGUGGUGAAAGAUUUGGAAUUGCACAUCAAUCAUUUUGGAGUGGGUAAUUGAUCACCCUAUUUUUCAAAAAAUAAGAAAGAUAAAAAAUAGUUAUUUUUUUAAAGAUAUAUUUGAAAGUGUUGAGUUUAUGGAAGGUAUUAGUACUUAUACAACCACGAAACAUUUGAUUUUUGUUAUCUAAAUUAUUUUAAUAAAAAUGUUUUUUUUUUUUUUUGAAGUUUAUGCUUAUUAAAAAUGCUUAUUUAAAAAAUGUUAAUGAAAUUUUAAAAAAUAAAAUCUAAUUAAACACUUCUGAGAUAGAGAGGUUUCCCUUGACUACCCGAGCGUAGAUAAACACUUCUGAGAUUUGGUUGGUAAUCCUAAGUUCGUGUGCAGUUGAUUAUUUUUUAAAUUUUGUAUAGUUGAAUAAUAUUUGAAUUUUAAAUUUUCAUCUAUGUGAUAUUUACUCAUUUCAAACUUUUUGAAUAUGCAUGUUUAUUUAUUAUUCUGUCGUCUCUCUAUUGUAUUUUAAAAUAUAGAAUAUGUGUAUUUAUAUUAUUUGAAAUUGAAAAUUUAACUUUUACUCUUAGAGUAGGCUUUAACUCUUUGUUUGUCCGUGUUGUAGGUGAGCGAGAAGGAAAAGUUCCAUUGUUUGAUUGAAUUGGAAUUGUUUCCUGCAUGGGGUGUCAUACAUAAUUCCACUUAUUACUAGUUGAAGGUCUUCUUUGCCUCUGUCUUCUUCCCCAUCUCCCCAAGUUGUUCUAACCUUUUUAUAUCUACCUAUUACAUGUCAAAAGGUUCGCUCUUCAAUGUUUUGAAACAAGUUCAUUAUGAAAAUCUCUCACAAGCAAACGUAUGUGCAUUAUGAAUAAUUUCAUCUCAAAAAAAUUGUUUGAGAGGUUUCAAAAGUGUAUCGAAACUAAUAAUUUUAAUGAAUAAAAAAAUAAUUCUUCGUUAGAUUCUUACAUUUUAUUUCAACGAACAAAAUUUAGGAAAAUUUUUAAAAAUAGCAAAUUUUACAAAAAUAUUUACAAUUUAUAACAAAUUUAUAGUCAUUGAUAUGAUAUAACGAUAGUUACUAAUAAAUAUUUUAAUUUAUUUUGUUAUUUUUAAAAAUGCUCAUAAAAUAUUAUAGUGAGGGAACAAUGAUGAAUCACAUAGUUCUUGUGGUGAUGUCGCUUUUUCUCCCUCUUUACAUUCUAAAAUCUCAAAUACAAAUCAUAAAACAAGUAGAUAUACAUUCAAUUAGCAUGAUUUUGAUUCUAAUAAAUUAGAAAGACAAAAAUAACUAACUAAUUAUGGAAAAGUAAUAUUUUAACAUGAAUUAUUGAUUUUUAAUUAGAGGUAAUUUUAAAAUAAAUAAAAUAAAAGAAAAUAUUACAAAUCAAAUCUAAACUAACUUUGAUUUUACUUCUUUAAUUGCAAUAUAACAUAGAUACAUUGGCUAUGAAGUGCAAUUUCUUAUAUUAUAAUAUUUAAAAGAUUUAAAUUUAAAAAUAAAAAUAAGUAAUCUCAAGUCCAAUAUUGGACCCGUGGGCUUAGCCCAUCAAUUUAAAAAUUCAAAAUGCACACUCAACCGUCACAUUUUCCUAGGAUCAUCCUAUUUAAUGCCCUUCUACUUGUCAACUCCAUCGAAAUCCUUCAUUUCUUGUGGCACCGUCUAAAAUUUGCUUCGAUUGAAGAAAUUUUGACGCCCAUGACAGCGUUGAAAUUUCUUCAAUGCAAACAAAUUUUUUAUCUUCCUUUCAUCGAGGAUUUUCAUACCAUGUGAAGGAGAGAUCAGUUCCAUCCGUUCCAAGUCGUUCGUGAGUCAUCUUCUUUCCUGUGUAGUUUUCAUCUCUUGAUUUUGGAUUGCUUGUUCAAGAUUUAUUUUCGAAUUUUGGAUUGUUUGCUAUUCGGAUAGGCAGAAGGUUUGCACGAUGAUAGAUCUGGAGUACCUGAAUCGUUUAUUGAUUCUGUAGUUUAAUCUUAUGAUUUUGGUGAUUUCGAAGCGUACAAUAUAAUCGUACUGUGUUAUGAAGUAAAUAAGAUUUUGUAGGGUUUUUGAAAGUUAAUUUAGAUAUUUCCUGCAUUUUAGUCUUGAUAGAUCUGGGGUACCUGAACCGUUCAGGUUUGCAUGCUGUGAUUGUGUUGUUCUUUUUUGAUUUUGGAGAGAGUCCUUGGGUAAUUUUGAGGAUUGUUCUUUUUUUAGUUUUUUUUUGCAUGCAUUCAAACACACGCAUGGUUUUUAAACUGGGGUUCUUGAAUAUUUGUUGGUUUUCUCGAAUAUUUGCCGGUUUUUUUUUCUCAGAAGAAUUGAUCUUAUAUUUGUGUAUCUCUCUGUGCAACUUUAAUAUAAAGUUAUUAAGGAAGAAGAGAAAGGAGGAAGAAGGGAGAGAGAAAAGGUAGAAACGACCUAAUAGUAGGCAUGAGUAUUAAGAUGCAGCAGAGCCACCACUUAGUGGCGCUAAGGUUUAAUGAGCAAAUUGACAGUAGAAAAGGGUCCACAUCCAUACCUAAGUUACUAUUGCUCUGGGUUCUGUUGGUGGCAUUCAUUAGUAUGUUAAACUACAAAGAAAUGGAUGGGUGGGUGUUAACAAAGUUAGAAGAAAGUAAGUUCUGGGAAGUAUGUGUGACCAGACGACAAAGAUGUUUCUUAGUGUCAGUGUCAAACUAUGUCCAGGCUUUGGCCAUUCUCAUUUCCAUUUUCCAGUACUUCAAAAUCGUAUCAGCAAUUGAUCAGGAAAAUGUGUUUCGAUUUCUGUCUUUUAUUAGUCUCGGUUAGUUAGGCUUAAGAGUAAGGGAUAUAAUUCAUUUUUCUUGUUUCAGCUAGAAAUUACGUCGAUGUCUUGAUUUUUAGUUUUUUUAGGGCUGUUUGGUUGUUUUUUUAGGGGUGUUUGGUUAGUUAGGCCUAAGAAGUAAGGGCUAGUGAAAGAGAAGCAUUUGAUUGUCCUACAAGUAUCUGAAUCGCCAAUGAAAGCAGAGGUUAUUUCCUCUGAAUUUCCACGAAUUGUUCAGGUUUGGAUUCUGUGAUUGUGUUGUUCUGUUGUUCUCUUCUUUAUUUUGGAGUGUUCUAGGAAAUUUUGAGGUUUGUUAUUUUUUAGUUUUUUUGGCUUGCCUUUAAUCACGCUCGUUUGGGAAUAGACAGGCUUCAGAGAAUGAAUCUCCUUUUUAAGGGUUCGUUGGGGAGCGAAGUGACCAUAUGGCAUCCCUUUCUGCACCUGCUCAGUCUCUCUCUUGCCUUUUUCAUACUACAUAUUUUUGUUUCUCAAUUUAGUGUCAGUGUCAACCAUGUCUAUGCUUUGGCCAUUCUCAUUUCCACUUUCCACUACUCUAAAAAUGUAUCUGCAAUUGAUCAGGUAAAAGUGUUUCAAUUUUCUGUCUUUGGUUCAUCUCCGUUAGUUAGUCUUAAGAGUAAGGGAGAUAAUUCGUUUUUCUUGUUUCCCUCCAUGUAUUGAUUUUUAGUUUUUUAGGGAUGCUUGGUUGGUUUGAAUGCACGAAACAUUUGCUGGUACACGAUUCAAACAGCUUGCCCAGUCAUGUUUUUCUAUUUUUUUUUAAUAUUUUGGAAUUUUGCAUGUGUGAUUUCUGUAUAUAUUAUUCUUGCCCUUUUCCUUUAUCAUCAUUUAUUUUGAUUUUGGAGAGGUCUCUUGGUUAUUUGUUAUUUGCACAUAUACAAGGGUUGAAAAUUUCAAUCCCACCUCUCUUUUAUAUUACAUUCAUUUAGUUUUGGCUGUUAUCUAAUUGAACUAUUUGAUCAUCAAAUAAUUGUGUUACCUUUUCUUCUAGAUGUUUAGAUUCAUUUUUCUCACUCUUUUAGUUUUCUUAAUGUGUGACAGUCUUUGUUUUUUAUUGAACUAUUGUGUGGCAGUCUUUAUUUAUUGGUUAUCUUUAGUUUCACUAUUGUUCUUUUUUUAAUGUUUUCUUAGUUUUUAAUAAGUGUGACAAAAUAUGAAUUAAUUUUUUUCUUUGAACAAAUGUGGAAUUUAUUUUCUUUUAAUGUAGUUGUGUCCCCAAUAAAUUUAUUUUGGCGAUUUAACAAUCCAUCAUGUUCUUUUUCAUUUUUCUGUUGUAUUUUCUUCGGUUCUUUGUUGUGGUAUGUCUAUUUUUGAGACAUUCUUAAUUUAGUUUUAUUUCUUUUAGCUUCCUGCAUCAUUUUGUAUUAUGGAUUGUUAUGAAAUUUUGAGAUUAUGCUUUAUUUUGUUUUUUGGUCCUUUGCUGUGAUGUCUUUUGAUUAUUUAUUUUGAGUGAACAGUUCAUGUAAGAUUUUCUGCAUGAGAAUAAAUUGAUUAUUUAAUUUGGUCAAAGAAGUUCAAAAUUUACAUGUGAAAUUUACACUCAGUGGCUGUAAGGUUUAAUGAGAAAAUUGGAAGUAGAAAAGAGUCCACAUUAAUUCAUUCAGCCAAGAGGGCUUGGCAUCCUAAGUUUGCUCUGGGUUCUGUUGGUGGCAUUCAUCAAUAUGUUAAUCUAUUAGGGAAUGUAUGGUUAUAACAAAGUAAGAAGAAUGGAAGUUCUGGGGGAGUAUUUGUGACAAGAGGGCAAGGAUGCUUCUGCAUCAAUUUAGUGUUAGUCAAUCAUGUCUAUGCUUUGGCCCUUCUCAUUCCACUUUCCACUACUACAAAAAUGUAUCUGCAAUUGAUCAUGUAAAAGUGUUUCAAUUUUCUGUCUUAGGUUCAUCUCAGUUAGUUAGUCUUAAGAGUAAGGGAGAUAAUUCAUUUUUCUUGUUUCAGCUAGAUGUUACCCUCCAUGUCCUGAUUUUUAAUUUGGCUUCCUAAGUGUGCUCUAGGUUCUGUUGGUGGCAUUCAUCAGUAUGUUAAUCUACAGGUGAAUCUAUAGUUAUAACAUAGUAAGAAGAAUGGAAGUUCUUGGGGAGUCUUUAUGUGUGACGGUCUUUGUUUUUCAUUGAACUAUUGUGUGGCAGUCUUUAUUUAUUGGUUAUCUUUAGUUUCACUAUUGUUCUUUCUUUAAUGUUUUUCUUAGUUUUUAAUAAGUGUGACAAAAUAUGAAAUUAUCUUUUUCUUUGAACAAAUGUGGAAUUUAUUUUUCUUUUAAUGUAGUUGUGUCCCCAAUAAAUUUAUUUUGGCGAUUUAACAAUCCAUAAUGUUGUUUUUCAUUUUUCUGCUGUAUUUUCUUUGGUUCGUUGUUGUGCGAUGUCUAUUUUUGAGACAUUUUUAAUUUAGUUUUAUUUCUUUUAGCUUCCUGCAUCAUAUUGUAUUAUGGAUUUUUUCGAAAAUUUGAGUUUGAUCUUGUUUUCCUGGUCCACUGCUGUGCAGUUUUUUUUUAUGAGAUAUUUUUAUUUAGAUUUAUUAUCUUUUAGCUUGUUUUGCAUUUUGCAUUAUAGAUUAUUUUUUAAAAUUUUGAGGUUGUUUUUUUUCUUUGAUCUUUUGUUGCGGUGACAAUUUUAAUUUAGAUUUAUUAUCUUUUAGCUUGCUUGCAUUAUGGAUUGUUAUGAAAUUUUGAGAUGAUGCUUUAUUUUGUUUUUUGGUCCUUUGCUGUGAUGUCUCUCUAUAAGACAUUUUUAAUUUAGGUUUAAUAACUUUUAGCUAGCUUGCAUUGUGGAUUGUUAUGAAAUUUUGAGUUUCUGCUUUCUUUUGAGUUUUGGUGAUGCCUUUUUACGAGACAUUUUUUAAUUUAGGUUAAUUUUUUAGGUUGCUUGCAUUUAUGGAUUGUUCUGAAAUUUUGACUUUCUGCUUUUGUUUUUUAUGUCAUUUGUUGUGUGAUAUUCUCUUUAUAAGAUAGAGAUAUUUUUAAUUUAGGUUUACUAUUUUUUAGCCUGCUUGCAUUUGGUAUCAUAUAUGAAUUGUUCUGAAUUUUGAGUUUCUACUUUUUCAGUCAUUUUUUUAGGGCUGUUUGGUUGUUUUUUUAGGGGUGUUUUGGUUAGUUAGGCUUAAGAAGCAAGGGCUAGUGAAAGAGAAGCAUUUGAUUGUCCUACAAGUAAUAAGCUUCUCCUCAAUCAUUCAACCAUUUUUUUAGUAAAGAAAGAGGCUUCUCCUCUGGCAACCAAAGUCCGUCCCUCGUUAACAGGUAAGUCUACCUCAUUACUUUUUAUGUCCUUUUAAUUAAGAUAUUUGGGUCAAUAUAUAUCAAAAUAAAUAAGAUCCAUCUUUGGUAAUUUUUAAAAAAAUUAAAUCUAUAAAUACUCAUUUCAUCUCUAAAAUUAUGUGAUUUGUACUUUCUAAAAUUCCCUCGAUGGUACUAAUACACUCUUAUAUUUGUAUUGUAAUUAUCAUGUCCUUUUUCUAUGGUUUUUUAAAGUUAAUUUAGAUCCUUAUUCGCUCUAGGUAUAAGUUGAAUGGAAGAGUUUUUUAGCCUUGAUGGAUCUUGAGUACCUGAAUCGCCGAUGAAACAGAGGUUAUUUUCUCGAAAAUUCCACGAAUUGUUCAGGUUUGGAUUCUGUAAUUCUGUUGUUCUUUUUUGAUUUUGGAGAGUGUCCUGGGUAAUUUUGAGGAUAUUAUUUUUUUGUUUUUUCGGCUUGCAUUUAAUCACGUGCGUUGGGGAAUAGACAGGCUUCGGAGAAUGAAUCACCUUUUUAAGGUUUCGCUGGGGAGCGAAUUGGCCAUAAGGCAUCCCUUUCUGUUCAGUCUCUCUCUUGCCUUUUUCAUACUAUAUGGUUGUUUGAUCUGGGGUUAUUGAAUGAUUGUUGCUUUUAUUUUCAUAAGAAGUGAUCUUAUAUUUUUGUCUCUCUGUGCAACUUUAAUUUGAGGUUAUUAAGGAAGGAGAUAAAGGAGGAAGAAGGGACGGAGAAAAGGAAGAAAUGACUGGAUUGUUGGGAUGGGUAUGAAGAUGCAGUAGAGCCACCACCUAGGUAAGGUCUAAUGGGCAAAUUGAAAGUAAAAAAGAGUGCACAUCCAUUCAAGCUAAGAGAGCUUGGGUUCCUAAAUUACUACUGCUCUAGGUUCUGUUGGUGGCAUUGAUUGGUAUUGUUAAUCUACAAGGGAAUUGAUGGUGUUAACAAAGUUAGAAGAAAGGAAGUUUUGGGCGUAUGUGUGACCGGAGCACAAAGAUGCUUCUGCAUCAAUUUACUGUCAGUGUUAAACUAUGUCCAUGCUUUGGUUUAUUUUCUAUUUUCUACUUUCCACUCCUCUCGAAAUGUAUCAGCAAUUGUUCAUGUAAAUGUGUUUCGAUUUCUGUUUGAUACUUCUCAGUUAGUUAGGCUUAAAAGUAUGAGAGAUAAUUCAUUUCUCGUCUCAUAUAGAAAUUAUCUUGAUGUCUUGAUUUUUAGGGUUUUUUUCAGCGGUUUUUGGUUUUUUUUUUUUUUUUUUUGGAUUUUGGCUAGUUAGGCUUAGAGGUGCAAGGACUUGUGAAAGAGAAGCAUUUGAUUGACCAACGAGUAAUUAGUUUCUCCUCAAGCAUCCCACCACUUUUCUAUUAAAGAAAUACAGGUACGUCUACGCUAUUACUUUUCAUGUCCUUUUACUUAAGAUAUUUAUAUAAAUAUAUAUAAAAAUAAAUAAGAUCCAUCUUUGGUAAUUUUUUUUAAAAUCAAAUCUGUGAAUAUUCAUUUCAUCUCUAAAGUUUUGCGUUUUGUUACUUUUUAAAAUUCCCUCCAUGUUACUAUUACACUCCUAUAUUUGUGUUGUAAUUAUGAUGUCCUUUUUCUAUGGUCUGUUAAAGUUAAUUUAAAUCCUUUUUUGCUCUUGGUUUAUGUUGAAGAAAUGGAAGAGUUUUUUAGCCUUAAUAGAUCUGGAGUACCUUAAUCGCUCUUGCAUUUUGUGAUUCUGUUCUUUUUCUAUUUUGAAGAGUGUCCUGAGUAAUUUUUAGGAUUUUUAUUUUAUAGUUUUUGUCGCUUGCAUUUAAACACGAACUUGGUUGUUGAACUGGGAUUCUUGAAUAAUUGUUGGUUUUGUUUUCUGAAGAAGUGAUCUUAUAUUUGUGUAUCUCUAUGUGCAACUUUAAUAUGGGGUUAUUAAGGAUGGAGAUAAAGGAGGAAGAAUGGAGAGAGAAAAGGCAGAAAUGACUUAAUUGUUGGGAUGAGUAUGACCCCAUGUCUAGUAGUUCCCAAGUAUGAUAUAGGAAGGCAGAGAGUCAAGGCCUUGUCUGACUCUAAUAGAAGUAAGUAGCUAACGCAACGCAAUAUUCUUUGCACCUUCAGUCUGUGAAUCUGAGGAGCAAGAGUUUGGCCAGAGGAGCUAGUCUCGUAACUGCGGGCGCAGUUCUAGUUCUUUACAAGACAGAUGGGAACUGUAGCUAACAAGUGUGCCCUGAGUGGAAUCCUACCACUACUCUUUCUACUAUAUUGGCAGGACGGGUGCCAAGUUAUUAGUAGCUAGGCAGCUAAGCCAGUAGUAGUUCAGUUCAGGUGCUGUUCUCAAACCUAGUUGACUACGUUGUAGCGUAGCGGUACGGGACAGAAAAAGAAUUGAUAGCGGUACACUGAACACAAAGAAAUUUGAUAGACAUAUGUUGAGAGUUCGACAAGUAGCACUGAAUCUACUAUCAGUAGUGAUUUAUAGAAGUUGACUCGCUUAAACGAAGAGAGUGAACAAAGCAUAGCGGAGUGAAGAGAGAAAUGGUUUCAUUAGAUAGCUCUCUCGAUGUCCUUGUUAUCUUUCCUAGGUAGAUUGUGACUUAUUCAUUCUUUCUCGCUGACUCUAGUUUCCCCGCCGUGGAUCCUUUCUCGGUUAGGGCUGUAAUUUAGAAUUCAGAAACGUAUCUGUCUUAUUAUCUUUGAGUCAAAGCAAUGUUACAUAUUUAUAUAGAGAAUAAACUAAACCCUAGAGACUAUGUAAAAUUACAAUAAAGGACAUAUGUGUAUAUAUAUAUAUAUAUCAUAACACUCCCCCUCAAGCUGGAGCAAAUAUGUCGAUCAUGCCCAGCUUGUUGCACAGAUAGCUUAUCCUUGUUCCAUUUAAAGCUUUAGUUAGAAUAUCUCCCAAUUGUUCUCCGGUCUUCACAUAUCCUGUGGACACCAACCCAUCUUGGAUUUUCUCACGAAUGAAGUGACAAUCCACCUCAAUAUGUUUAGUUCGUUCAUGAAAUACUGGAUUAGAUGCAAUAUGAAGUGCAGCUUGAUUAUCACACCAUAAUUUAGCUGGCACGGUAAUACUGAAGCCUAUCUCAGAUAAUAGUUGGUGAAUCCAUACUAUUUCACACACAGAUUGUGCCAUAGCUCUAUAUUCUGACUCAGCACUCGAACGAGAAACAACAUUUUGUUUCUUACUCUUCCAUGAAACUAAGUUUCCACCUACAAAAACACAAUAUCCAGAAGUCGAUCUCCUAUCCUCACGAGACCCCGCCCAAUCAGCAUCAGAAAAACAUUCAACUCUCGUAUGUCCAUGAUCUUUGUAUAGGAUCCCACGUCCAGGAGCAGCUUUUAGAUAACACAAAAUCUGCUCUACUGCAGCCCAAUGAUCCACUGUAGGGGAAGACAUGAAUUGACUUACAACACUUACAGAAUAUGCAAUGUCUGGUCGAGUCACUGUUAAGUAGUUCAACUUCCCAACUAAUCUCCUAUAUCUCUCAGGAUCUUUACAUAAUUCUCCUUCUUUAACAAGUUGCUGAUUUGGCAUCAUUGGAGUGCCACUUGGUUUGGCGCCUAAUUUUCCUGUUUCAGACAACAAAUCAAGUACAUAUUUUCGUUGAGACAAAUAAAUACCUUUCUUGCUUCUCAUCACUUCAAUGCCCAAAAAAUAUUUCAAUUGGCCCAAAUCUUUUGUAUAAAACUGACCCUGAAGGAAAGUUUUGAGAGACGAAAUACCCAAUGCAUCAUUUCCAGUAAUAACAAUAUCAUCAACAUAUACAACUAGUAGAACUAUACCCUUCUCAGAUCGGCGAUAGAAAACUGAAUGAUCAGAUGUACUCUUCUUCAUACCAAAGCAUACAAGGGCUGACUAAACUUACCAAACCACGCACGAGGACUCUGUUUCAAACCAUACAGAGAUUUUCGAAGGCGACAUACUUUAUCACUCUCCCCCUGAGCAACAAACCCUGGUGGUUGUUCCAUAUAAACUUCCUCUUGAAGAUCACCGUGAAGAAAAGCAUUCUUAAUGUCAAGUUGAUGCAACGACCAUUUAUUGGUAGCAGCCAUGGAAAGAAAUAGGCGAAUGGAAGUUAACUUGGCAACCGGAGAGAAUGUAUCUGAAUAAUCAGUGCCAUAGAUUUGAGCAUAACCUUUGGCAACAAGGCGAGCCUUUAAACGAGCCACUGUUCCAUCAGGAUUCAUCUUGACAGCAAACACCCAUUUACAACCAAUGGCCUUCUUUCCUGCAGGACGAGAUACCAAAUCCCAAGUAUCAUUAUCAUCUAAAGCAGUCAUCUCCUCAAUCAUUGCAUUUUGCCAGCGAGGAUGAGACAAAGCUUCAUGAACAGAGUUAGGAAUAGAUGUGGACUCAAGAGACGUAAUAAACGCAUAUGUGGAGGGAGAUAACUGGUGAUAGGAAAUAAAGGAAGAAACGGGGUAAGUACACUUGCGUUUACCUUUGCGAAGAGCAAUGGGAAGAUCAUCACUUGGCGCUGGAUCACAUGAUGAAGGAAGCAUUGAUGGAGGACAUGAGUCUGAAGGUUGUGGUGGAGGUCGUCGGGAGUAGACUUGAGAAAUCAACGGGCGGGAAGGAGGCACAUCAGUAGACAAGGAUGGUGUGGGAGAGGUAACCUCAUAUAUAAAAAGAUUGUCAUCCUCCCCCUGACACAAACUCGAUGGUGAUGAAGUAAAGGGUGUAUCUUCAAAAAAGACAACAUCAGGCGAAACCAGAUACCUUUUAAGGGUAGGACAAUAACAACGAUAACCCUUUUGAACACGUGAAUAACCCAAGAAGAUACACUUCAAGGAUUUGGGAUCUAACUUAGUAUGAUGAGGACGAACGUCACGAACAAAACAGACACAACCAAAUAUCUUAGGAGCAAUAGGAAACAAAUGCUUGGUAGGAAAAAGAACACGAUAGGGAAUCUCACCAUUAAGAACAGAGGAAGACAUUCUAUUAAUCAAAAAACAAGCUGUAGAGACAGCAUCAACCCAAAAGAUUUUUUAAACAUGCAUUUGAAACGAUAAAGCACGGGUAGUUUCAAGUAAAUGCCUAUUUUUCCGCUCUGCAACACCAUUUUGAGAUGGAGUGUCAGCACAGGAAGAUUGAUGAAUAAUGCCAUUUUCACACAAGUAAGAGCCAAGAGAAUGAGAAAAAUAUUCACCCGCAUUAUCAGUACGCAAAGUUUUGAUAGAGACAUUAAAUUGGUUUUUUAUUUCAGUAUGAAAGGCACAAAAAUGAGAUAAUAACUCAGAACGAUUUUUCAUUAAAUAUAACCAAGUUAGACGAGAAUGAUCGUCAACAAAAGUAACAAAAUAACGAAAGCCUGUUUGAGAUACAACUGGACACGGACCCCAAAUAUCAGAAUGAACUAACUCAAAUGGAGCAAUUGCUCGUUUAUCGACUCGAGGACUCGAACUAAGACGAUGAAAUUUCGCAAAUUGACACGAAUCACAAUUUAAAGAGGACAAAGACCUAAAUUCUGGAUAAAGUUUCUUCAACACGAACAAAGAUGGAUGACCUAAACGACAAUGGACUUCAAAAGGAGAGGGAACGACAGGACACGCCACAGCUUGCGAUACUUGAUGAUCAAAGAGAUAAAGGCCUCCUGACUCAUAUCCUCUACCAAUAAUCUUCUUCGUCACACGAUCCUGAAACAAGCAAUAACCAGAAAAGAACAUGACAACACAAUUUAGGUAGGUCAUGAGUAAGUUGACUAGUAGAAAUUAAAUUAAAGGAUAAGUUAGGCAAAUGUAACACAGAAGAGAGUGAAAAUGAUGGGGUAAGGUGAAUAGUGCCAGAGCCAAGAACAGAAGAUGUGGAGCCAUCGGCCAAUGUAACCGAUGGAAAAGGGGCAGGGGACAACGGUCUAGAAAAUAGGUGAGAAUUACCUGUCAUAUGAGCUGUGGCACCAGAGUCUAUGACCCAUUUGGUAGAUGAUGUAAGAAGACACUUUAUAUUACCUGGGGCAACAGUGGAUGCAAUCAGAGUAGAGGAAGAUGACGCUUGUAAUGACUCUUGGUAAUUCUGAAACUUAGCAAACUCAUCUGCCGAAAUAGUAACUGACGCCUCUGGUAUAUCACAUGUGGAGGCUAUCUGAGCAUGUUGAGAUCGUUGACUAUUCUUAUAUAGCAAUUUCUGACAAUCACGUUUCAUAUGGCCUGGCUUACGACAGUAGUUACAAACAAUCUCUACAGACUCUGGUUUUCGAUGAUCAGUACUAUUCCUCUGAGGUGCCCGAGGGUUAUUGUUAUUGUUCUUGCUAAAGAGAGCACUACUGGGUUGAGGAAUAGACACACUAGUCGGAGAGCUUUCAAUGCGAAGGACUCGAGUGAAGGCAUCAUCUAAUGAUGGAAUCUUGGAGUCAGAGAGAAUCUGUGUCUUUGCCAUUCCAAAUUCAGGUAAGAGUCCAUUCAGGAAAAUCAUAACAGCCAUCUUCUCUCGUUGAACUUGUUGAACUUUAACAUCAGGACUAAAAGGUAACAACAAGCCAAGCUCGACAAUGAUCUUCUUAAGCCGCAUAAAGUAGCUGGUGACAGACUCAGCUUUCUGUUCCGCACGAGAAAAUUGCAUACAAACUUCAAACAUUCUAUGCACUUGCUCUUUACCUGAGUAUAGAAAAUCCAAAAAUUCCAAAAGUUCUUUAACAGACUCACAGUGAUCAACCAAUCCAAUUAUCUCACUCUCAAUUGAAUUCUUGAUCUGAAGAUAUAAACGGGCAUCAUCACGAAGCCAAUCCUUCUUCUGCUUUGCAUCUUUUGGGAGAUCGAGUUUCAAACCUUUAUACACAAAAUUGAAACUCAAAAUUCACUUCCUUCCUUCCGCAAGGCCGAUAUCUUUCAUAGCAAGCAAGGAUGAGUCCAUUAGGUUCUUCGAUUGAUUCGGAAAAGAAAUGAGAGACAAGAAAAGAUCUUUGAUGGAGAUGAAAAGGAAGAAUCUCAAAUAGACCAAGAUCCAAUUUCGGGUCAUUUCUUGGUGAACAUGAUCUGCCAUAAUCUCUUCGAUCCCUGAAUUUAUGUGCCAGAAUAAAGAGAGAUUUGGUAGGAAAGUGGAAGAGACCUUGUGGUAUAUAAUAAUGAGAGGGAGUGGGAAAGCUGCUGUAAUUCUUUGGAAAAGCCCGGUUCUUUUUGUCUUCGAGCUUGAAUUCCUCAAUCCACUCUUUCGUUCUUUCAUAUACCUCCCCACCAAUAGAUAGAGACAAAUAGGAAUAACCGAACCACGUCUACAAAAUGCCAGUACCAUGCAGCUGCUUCAAAGCCAAUGUGAUGCUCCUUGGUCGGAUGACCUAGAUAUUGGCGAAUACCACAUACGAUCAAGAAAAGAGUACCUAUAAUCACAUGAAAACCAUGAAAGCCAGUUGCUAAGAAAAAGGUAGAACCAUAAAUACUAUCCGAAAUAGUGAAGGGUGCUUGAUAAUAUUCCAUUCCUUGAAAGCCUGUGAAUACUAGAGCCAGUGAAACGGUAGCUACUAAAGCGUAAACAGCUCGUUUUUCCUUCCCCGCGAGUAUAGCAUGAUGAGCCCAAGUUACGGCUGCUCCGGAUGAAAGGUGAAUAGGGGUGUUAAGAAAAGGGAUUUCCCGAGGAUCUAAAACCCCAAUCCCUUUUGGGGGCCAAAUAUCUCUGAUCUCUACCGUAGGUGCCAAAGAAGAAUGAGAAGAAGCCCGAAAGAAGCAAAAAGGAACAUAACCUUCGAUACGAUAAAGAGAAUAAAACCAUAUCGAAGUCCUAUUUUUACGACUUUGGUAUGAUGUCCUUCCAACGUGGAUUCACGUAGAACAUCGCGCCACCAUACGAACAUGGUAUAUAGGAGAAAUAUGAGGCCCAAACUGAGAAGUCUUGCACCCCCUUGAAAUGAGUGCAUGUACAUCACACCUCCUACGGUGGUUGCCAAAUGAUAAGAAUGCCUCUGAGAUUCAAUCAUAAACCACUUUGCCUCGGUUGUAUGUAAACCCCCCCUUCACCCCCACCCGCUAAAGUGGUAAAGAAGGGCUCUUUGGGGUCUCAUUUUCUUUCUAUCUGACAGGACUCAAAAAUAGGAAGGGAUGGUUCUUUCAUUGCAUUGAUAGAAGUCUAACUAGAAAAAGAUCUCGUUGCUUUGACCGAGCCCUAGGCUUUCCUUGGAUAGAGCCCUCUAUAUUCCGACUGAUUUAUGGCGUAGAAGGCGGGAAUAGGAAUCACUCAUAUUGCAUUGAGCCUUAACAGUCCGGAGGACUAUCCCGCUCCGUGGGAUUCUUUGAGCCUCACAAUAUUCUUUGCACCUAUCCAUCCACGGCAAUAUUCUUUGCACCUUCGCUCCAAAUAAAGUAAUAGCCGCAACUCAAUUCAUUUCAGCCUUCGCCUAGAAAUUCACUUUGCGACCCACUCUGUAAGCCCACUACACGAGAAGAAAGAAUAUCCUUAGCUAUUUAUCUUUAUUAUCUCUUCUCUGAGAAUAUCCUCUUAUUCUACUAUUAGAAGAAUAUCCUACUUUCAGUUUCUAGUCAAAGAAAGGUCCAGGCGCAGGCGCAAAGAAUAUUGCGAGGUGCAGUCUAAUGGAUAGGACUGAGGGCUCGACUGAAAGGAGAGAAGGCGCAAUUCAAUAUGCGAGGUCCAUAUUCCGACUGAGGAACUGAAACUUCCGCGUAGUGCUUCCCUUGUUCAUUGAUAGUAAUCCUGAAGUUUCUUCUUGGCAUCAAAAUAGAUCAAUGAAAGAGGACUAAAAAUAAGACGAAAGUACUUAUGACGGCUUUCCUUCCCAACAAAUCUUCGUUCUUAGUUAUUUGAUUCCACUUUCAAACUUUCUGGGAGUUGUCUUCUCCUAGGCUUUCUUCUUUCUGGCAGUCUUCUGCCUUGCCGUAGGGAGUAGGUUCAGGAGAACCAUAACCAUAAAUCAGAGAGACGGAGGCAUCAAUCACGCAAUAUUCUUUUGCACCUCUUCCUUUAAGCUAUAUUUUUUUAGGCUCCGGAGGCUCAAAGACAGGGAUAUUGUUGAAUACUAUUAGUUCGAGUCGCAGAGAGCAAAGAAUUUUCUCUUAAUGGAACUUAGCGCGGGUUAAUAUGGAUAGGACUGAGGUCUUAAGACUCCUAACUAUUAAUGGAAAGGACCCACGGAGCGG
rnacentral:lncRNA from 1 species